UUCUAUUUUAAAAACAGAGGGAAGAAACGCGCAACAAAGUAGCGUCAAAUGACUUUGAACUUUGAGCACAUCAUCGAUAGCAUUUCUUCUUAGUUGUUUUUGUAAAUAAUGUAAAUGAUGAACCGGAAUAUGGCUAAUUUUAGCACUCUUAUCUCCGUGGUGUCAGGUGUAACUGUGCUGUAUCUCUUUUACACUUCUCACGUCUCGUUUAAAACUCACACAGUCUUUGACGCCCAGAAACAUUUGCCAGGUUCAGUUUACCUCAUGACCAGGUACAUUUAUCAAUCUCUCCGCAAGAAACGAGGAACAAUGAGGAAAAACAAAGACACAAGCGACGAGCUUGCUUUCACUUUGGUCAACUGCAGGUAUGAUGCGGUGUCUUUGAGGAGAUUCUGCAGUGUUUCGGGUUAUGGCUGGGACUAUCCUGACAGUGUCUUCAGAGACGUCCCCUUGUGCUACCCUGAGUUUCUCUUCACCAGACUUCUCACUAUGAUUGUGUGCUCCGAGAGAUUCAGACUCAGCCCUUUCGGUCUGAUGAGUGUCAGUGAGAGUGUGCGUCUGAGCGAUGCCUUGGAUGAGCUGAAGAGAGGGAUGUUCUCCCUGCAGGCCAGAGUGCUGGAGUACAGGACUGUUAGAGCUGGAGUGGAGGUGGAUCUCGCUUUGACUGCGUCUAGAGAUCAGCAGACCGUUUGGAGCAGCACACUGACUCUACUCUCUCCUAACAAUACACACAGACCUGAUGCUCAGCCUGGCCUAGAGAUCACCCAUGGUAAGGGACCAUACUGCAGGCAUAUCAGUGGCUAUCCAGUCUCGGAGAGAUGCAUCACCCAGGCUGUUCCUUGGUCCUCAGGUGUGAGGAGGACCUGGGUGUUUGGUGACCUUUGCCCUCUGCCUGUGUUUGUUUGGCUGGGCUUUGCUCGUCCCUCCACCCACCCGCUGUGGAUGUUCUCCAGGUGCAUGGCAGAAAUGGAGAAACAUAAAGGAGUUGAAGUGGUGAGAGCUCCUCUGACUGUGUCAGUCUGUUACAAACAGCCUGUGUCUUUACCGAGGAAAGUCAACAUCAGAGUCAGUGAAAACACUAGUGUAACCUCAAGCACAGCGUCAUUUUCAUUGGAAGACCACAGAACCAGGACACUGUACCUCACAGGACAGAUAAAACCACAGACAAGCCAGAAAGCAGAAUGAUGGUGAUGUGAUCCUGACAGAUAGGAUACGAAGCACUCAACAGCGGGGUGUCAGAUGGGGUGACGUGGCCAUCACAAACACUGGUCUCAGCCCCAAACCUGAAAUACAAGGGGCCUAGGAAAUGAUGCUCCUAUUAAAUGGUGCCGUGAUAGUAUAUGAUGAUGAUAUUUGAAAUGUCUACUUUAAAGACAAUCAAGGGGACUUAUCAUGGAGAACAGGAAUCCUCUUGCUCUAUUGAACUGAAGGAAUCAAUGUCCUGUGUAGACAGACUCUGGUCAAAACACUUACUCCUCAGUCUACUCUUACAGAUACUGUAUAAUAAUUUGCAUAUAAAUUCAUAUUCUUUAUUCAGGAACUUGACCGACUCAGAUGAGCUGCAGCAGAGACAUCAUUAAUUUAUAAAGGCCUGAUUCUGUCGUGUGUGAAGUGCAGUCAUGUGUAAUCGGUGUGUUUGGAGCGGUGAGUACAAGAGCUGCUGUGAUCAAAGAGCAAAAUAAAAGCGUAAGUACAAUAUCAUCUUUUAAGCUUUUGGUAAAACUCCACUGUUUUAUUUUUAAAGAGAAUAAGUCUACUUUCUGUAGUUUGUGCUGAGCUGUUUGCAUCUAAACGCUUGAUAUGCAGAUGUGAUCCUCACGAGUGACAGCCGCUCCUGAUAGAAUGGCUUUCUUCUUCUGAAAAUGUCUUGAAGUCUCUUGGGAACUUUGAGUUAUUUUUGCUGCUUUUAAAGGCUUCAUGUCUUUAUUUGUCCUGUUGGAGAGUGCUGGGAAAAAAACUGCCCACCUCCCAUUUUCAUUCCCUCAUCCACUCCUGUUUCUUCAUCUUUCUGUUCUCUCAGUUUUGUAAUGCAUUUUCUGGUUGGGUGUUUUGCGUUACUUUCUUGUAUGCAACAUCUGGAGCAUUAAUGGUGCUGGAUCUGUGGAUACUAAAAGUAAAAAGAUGCUGACGUAUUAGUGUGGUAAACGAAGGGCAAAAGGUUAAUUCCUCUGUGGUAAUCCUAAAUUCUUAGAGGAUUUAGAGGAGAUCUUAUUUCUUCUGUUUCCUUGGCAGUACAGAUGUGAGUGCCAUGGUCACCAAAGACAACGCUAACUCUGGCUCUGGCGGAAAGACAACCUGUGUGAAGAAACAAAAGUGUAUAAUGAACAAUUCUCAAAAGGCUGGGGUACUUUACAGGGACCCACAGAUAACUAUAUUUGAACCCGAACUGACUCUAGAGGUCACGGCUGACGAAGAUGGAAGGAAAACGAAUCGGGUCGCAGUGAACGGUGUUCUAGAAACGACUGCUAAUGAACAGACGUGUAACGUAUGGAGUGUUUCCAAUCUCCAGAAUCUGAAAGAGAUGCAAUAUCUGCACCACGAGACUGAGGACAGUCUAAUCGAUCCAUCACUGGACAUGGACAAGUCAUCUCUCAUGGGUUUCGUCGACUCCAGUAACCUGGAGAGCUCAGAGGAUGUUCAGACCGUCCCGUGCAUCCAUGUGGACGUUAAAACGGAUGUGGUGCUGAUCGAUGAGGAUGAUGAUGAUAUGUCUCUAAGGGAGAGGACAGUGACGGAUGUGUCCACUGCGGACGGGAAUGCGGCUGAGCUUGUGUGCGGGCGGCUCCAGUCAAUCUCCUCUGACUCCACCCACUCUUUAUGUGAUGGGCGGAGUCUAGAGCAAGGCUCGACCAUUGAGACACCUCAAGAGAAACAGGAGCCGCCCAAAAAACACAAACGCGCUUGCUGUCUCUGUGUUAUCAUUUAAUGUUUCUCAGAAAAAAAAAAAGCCAAGGUUAUACACUUUUCAAGCAUUUUUUUUUUCUUUUUCAUGACCAUUUGUAACUCUCUCUCUGACCGUUAGAAUUAAACAAGCUUAUAGUUGACAUGGAAAUUAUUUAAUGUGACAUAUUUCCAAGUGAAAGAAUAUUGGAUGGGUGUGGGUGGGAAGGACAUUUCAAAGUUAGAGUUUCUUAAAGCAAAAAAAUAAGUGUCAUGACCAUUUAUAACUCUUUCUGACCCAUACAAGUUUAUUUUGCUACUGUCCUUUUUAUGGAAUUUUUCACCACAGACUAAAAAAGAAAUAAAA